CCCUUCUUCUCCCUUGCCGUACAUAGCGAGACUGGCCUCCGAGGUAACCCUCCCCCCUUCCCUUCUCCUCUCAUCCAGUCAACUUAUUCGUGGGCACCUCGAGACAUGGUUGUGGGAUGUAGGUGGAUUUGGUAGAUGAUGAAGGGGAUGGAUUUCAGAGCUGUACUAUACAACCCGUGCUAUAUUCAGUUGUUUUGAACACCCUCGAUGUUCAGAAACUUCAGACCAAUUCCAACAGUCCCUAAAGGGACACCUCCAUUAGCUCCCAUGACUGCCAACACAAGUGCGUUGACAUUUGAAGCUAACCUGACUUCAUGUACUAGGGUAUUCCUGAUCCUGCAAAGUGCUCCCUCACCAUCGCCUCCUGCGAAGACAGAACAUCCAGCAAAGAGCAAUGCUAUAGAGCUCACAGUUGGCCUGUGCUCCCAAUAAAACAUGACCAUCAUUUCUUCUUGGAAUGUGGUAGUCGUGAUUCACGUCGUUUAAGCUAAAAAUUUUUGGGAGUUGCAUUGAUGUUAUAGACAGUUGAUAGAAUAAACACUAGCAUUUUAUUAGCGAUUUCAUGAAUAAAAGCAGGAAUGAAAGACAAAUUGCUAUCUGUAACUUGAUCUGUGCACUUUCCAAUGUGUUGUCCUCUGCCCUAGCAAUCCAAGUUGUCGCUAGUAUGUUUGAUGUGCACAGUGUUUUAGCAACUACCAUGUGGCUAGGUGAUCAUUCUUUGUGCCCUGUUGGAAUUUAUUCCAGUGCAGUUUAGGUCAAUUGGGCAUGUCCAUGUUUCUCUGCACUAAGUAGACAUUCAUCUCUGAAUUUAGUUUGUAUAGGGAAUGCUUGAAAUAUUCAGGGUGUAAGCAUUGCACUGAGUAAACAUUCAUCUCUGAAUUCAGUUUUUACAGAGAAUAUUUGAUUCAAAUAUUCAGGGAAUGUAGUGUAGGCAAGGCACAUCCACUAUUUUAGAUUCUAAUGGUUGAAGUUUCCAAAAUACUCAAGAGUUUGGGCAAACCUGGGAAUGGUUGGACAUCCAGACUAGAACCAGUGUGGUCUAUAGGACUACACGCCACACAUUCAAAUGAAACCAACCCAGAUUCUUUCACCUUGAAUCUUGACCAAACCAAACUAUACAUGCUCUCCAUCCAACCUAGUCCAAACUGUUUCCAAAUUGUGCAUUGAACUCACAGGUUCAAACUAUGGAGAAAGUCAUAUGGGAGGGCGCGUCAUUAAUCUACAAAAUAGUGGAGUUGUUGUGAUAGCAAAAACAUCAAGCUACUCUUCUGCGCGUGAUAGAUAUCCUAUUCUUGGAGAUGUCAUGUACUUUUGAAGGAUUGUGGACAUAAUUGAGUUAGACUAUUUCUGAUUUUUUGGUGCUAUUUAAAUGUGAAUGGGUUGAUGUUACCGAAGGAAAAGGUAUGCGAAUAGAUAAGUAUGGCUGUAAACUUGUAAAUUCUCUCGUCUAAUUCACACUGGUAAAAGGCAGAGGAUGUACCUUUUGUAUUUGCCACAAGUUGACAAGGUGUUCUAUGUGGGUGACCAUGUUUAUCCAGGAUGGUCAAUUUGUUUUUGAAGAUGAAGCCUCGAGAUAAUUUUUAUAAUGUGGAAACAGAACCUUAUCAUGUCAGCAAUUUCUUUGAGCUUUUUGAUACUGCCCAUUAGAAACAAAAUUGGAUGAGAAGAGACAUAGAGGGCGAAACUAUAGAUGCUCCUAUACUGCCAAGUGAUUAUACAGUACCUCAAUAAAGGUCAGCUUCCAAUGUGAUUCUGUUAUUUACAUUCUUAGUAUCAUUGCUGCAACUUAUGUUAGUUUGGACAUGAAACUUACUACUCUAUUGCUUCUGCAUGAAAGUUCGAUGGAUAACAAAAGUCACCGAUCUGAAAAUGUGGAGCCUAGUUGAAGUGACGAAUGCAUUAGUGUUAUUUGCUAUUUUUCUUUGAUGUGCAUGUACUCUAUAAUUCGGACAAGAAUAUUUGUAGGCGUGACAAGCCUAAAGUGUCAAUACUUGAUCCCAAUUACGUUCGUGUUGGUUGUUGUGUUUCCAAUAUAUUAUGAGUUACAGUGUCUAUCAAGUGGCUAUUGAUAAUCACACAUGUUCAUAUGUCCCU
rnacentral:lncRNA from 1 species